CCUACGGGAGGCAGCAGUGGGGAAUAUUGGACAAUGGGGGGAACCCUGAUCCAGCCAUGCCGCGUGUGUGAAGAAGGCCCUCGGGUUGUAAAGCACUUUCAGUGAGGAAGAACGCCUGGUGGUUAAUACCCAUCAGGAAAGACAUCACUCACAGAAGAAGCACCGGCUAACUCCGUGCCAGCAGCCGCGGUAAUACGGAGGGUGCGAGCGUUAAUCGGAAUUACUGGGCGUAAAGCGCGCGUAGGUGGCUUGAUAAGCCGGUUGUGAAAGCCCCGGGCUCAACCUGGGAACGGCAUCCGGAACUGUCAAGCUAGAGUGCAGGAGAGGAAGGUAGAAUUCCCAGUGUAGCGGUGAAAUGCGUAGAGAUCGGGAGGAAUACCAGUGGCGAAGGCGGCCUUCUGGACUGACACUGACACUGAGGUGCGAAAGCGUGGGUAGCAAACAGGAUUAGAUACCCUGGUAGUC
rnacentral:rRNA from 1 species